rnacentral:rRNA from 1 species
GAUGAACGCUGGCGGUAUGCCUAACACAUGCAAGUCGAACGGUGUAGAGACGUAGCAUUGCUACGUCUCUACAUAGUGGCGGACGGGUGAGUAACACGUGAGAAUCUGCCUUCAGGACGGGGACAACAGUGGGAAACCACUGCUAAUACCGGAUAAGCCGAAAGGUGAAAAUUUAUUGCCAGAAGAGGAGCUCGCGUCUGAUUAGCUAGAUGGGGAGGUAAAAGCUCACCAUGGCGACGAUCAGUAGCUGGUCUGAGAGGAUGAGCAGCCACACUGGGACUGAGACACGGCCCAG